UACAGAGGUCCCAAGCGUUUGUUCGGAUUCACUGGGCGUAAAGGGUGCGUAGGUGGUGAGGUAAGUUUGAUGUGAAAUCUCCGGGCUCAACCCGGAAAUGGCAUUGAAUACUAUCUUGCUAGAGGAGUGGAGGGGGGACUGGAAUACUUGGUGUAGCAGUGAAAUGCGUAGAUAUCAAGUGGAACACCAGUGGCGAAGGCGAGUCCCUGGACACUUCCUGACACUGAGGCACGAAAGCUAGGGGAGCAAACAGG
rnacentral:rRNA from 1 species